GAACACAAGGGGUCUCCACAUUAUAGGUGUGACACCGUAUUUCUAUACCAACACACCCACAAUUGGUGACGACAUCAAAGAAGACCUGCGACGCAUUGUUACGGAAGUCGACUUAGACGCCCUUCUCAUCAGAACAACUCAGACAGAGGCUGCUCUAUUCGAACCAGAGUGUCGUCUUACCGGACCAUCACUAUGGACGCAUCUAGACAAUCUGCAAAAACAAGUAACUUUUGUUCAGUCGUUGGAAUUUGCAAGGACCGUCCAGCUUCCCUCCGAUCUACGGAUAUUGCUCUCUUUCAGCUGUACCGGGUUCAGGACAUUUUACAAAAGCCUCUUGGCUCACUUGAGUAAUCAAGAUAUCGAUAAAAUUCGGCAUGAGAAGUGUAGAGUAAGCCAGUUGGCGAAGUAUGGAGAGGAAAAUGUAAGCGUGCGUAUGGUUCACCUUCCGCAGACUCAUGGAAUCGGUUUGCCAUAACGCAGACCC